GCUUAGAAGCAGCCAUCAUUUAAAGAAAGCGUAAUAGCUCACUGGUCGAGUCGGCCUGCGCGGAAGAUGUAACGGGGCUAAACCAUGCACCGAAGCUGCGGCAGCGACACUCAGGUGUUGUUGGGUAGGGGAGCGUUCUGUAAGCCUGCGAAGGUGGCCUGUGAGGGUUGCUGGAGGUAUCAGAAGUGCGAAUGCUGACAUAAGUAACGAUAAAGCGGGUGAAAAGCCCG
rnacentral:rRNA from 2 species